rnacentral:misc_RNA from 1 species
GAUGAAGAACGUAGCGAAAUGCGAUACGUAAUGUGAAUUGCAGAAUUCAGUGAAUCAUCGAAUCUUUGAACGCAUAUUGCGCUCUCUGGUAUUCCGGAGAGCAUGCUUGUUUGAGUAUCAGUAACACCUCAACUUCCAUGUCUUUUUUUGAAAUGGGAGUUGGACUUGAGUGAUCCCAACGCUUUUCCUCACCGAAAAGUGGCGGGUUACUUGAAAUGCAGGUGCAGCUGGACUUUUCUCUGAGCUAUAAGCAUAUCUAUUUAGUCUGCCUAAAAAACAGAUUAUUACCUUUGCUGCAGCUAACAUAAAGGAGAUUAGUUCUUGUGCUGACUGAUGCAGGAUUCACAAAGACAGCUUCGGCCGACUUUGUAAACUCGAUCUCAAAUCAAGUAAGACUACCCGCUGAACUUAAGCAUAUCAAUAAGCGGAGGA